GAUGAAGAACGCAGUGAAAUGCGAUAAGUAAUGUGAAUUGCAGAAGUCAGUGAAUCAUCGAAUCUUUGAACGCACAUUGCGCCCCCUGGUAUUCCGGGGGGCAUGCCUGUUCGAGCGUCAUUUCACCACUCAAGCCUCGCUUGGUAUUGGGCAACGCGGUCCGCCGCGUGCCUCAAAUCGACCGGCUGGGUCUUCUGUCCCCUAAGCGUUGUGGAAACUAUUCGCUAAAGGGUGCUCGGGAGGCUACGCCGUAAAACAAACCCAUUUCUAAGGUUGACCUCGGAUCAGGUAGGGAUACCCGCUGAACUUAAGCAUAUCAAUAAGCGGAGGA
rnacentral:misc_RNA from 1 species